UACGAAGGGGGCUAGCGUUGUUCGGAAUUACUGGGCGUAAAGGGCGCGUAGGCGGCCUUGUUAGUCGUGUGUGAAAUACCUGGGCUCAACCCGGGAAUUGCGCUCGAUACUGCGAGGCUUGAGUGUGGGAGAGGUUGGUGGAAUUCCCAGUGUAGAGGUGAAAUUCGUAGAUAUUGAGAAGAACACCGGUGGCGAAGGCGGCCAACUGGACCACAACUGACGCUGAGGCGCGAAAGCGUGGGGAGCAAACAGG
rnacentral:rRNA from 1 species